rnacentral:rRNA from 1 species
GACGAACGCUGGCGGCGUGCUUAACACAUGCAAGUCGAGCGGAGCGGCGAACGGGUGAGUAACGCGUGAGUAACUGCCCCCCUCUCUGGGAAAACAGUUGGAAACGGCUGCUAAUACCGGAUAGUGGGGGAUGACUCGCGUCCUAUCAGCUUAUUGGUGGGGUAGGGGCCUACCAAGGCGACGACGGGUAGCCGGCCUGGGAGGGGGACCGGCCACAUUGGGCUGAGAUACGGCGCAGACUCGUACGGGAGGCAGCAGUGGGGAGUAUGGCACAGUGGGGGAAACCCUGAUGCGGCAGCGCCGCGUGCGGGAUGACGGCCUUCGGGUGGUAAACCGCUUUCAGCCAUGACGCGGUAGUGGCAGAAGAAGCACCGGCUAACUACGUGCCAGCAGCCGCGGUAAUAC